AUUGAACGCUGGCGGCAGGCCUAACACAUGCGAGUCGAGCGGAUGAAGGGAGCUUGCUCCUGGAUUCAGCGGCGGACGGGUGAGUAAUGCCUAGGAAUCUGCCUGGUAGUGGGGGAUAACGUCCGGAAACGGGCGCUAAUACCGCAUACGUCCUGAGGGAGAAAGUGGGGGAUCUUCGGACCUCACGCUAUCAGAUGAGCCUAGGUCGGAUUAGCUAGUUGGUGGGGUAAAGGCCUACCAAGGCGACGAUCCGUAACUGGUCUGAGAGGAUGAUCAGUCACACUGGAACUGAGACACGGUCCAGACUCCUACGGGAGGCAGCAGUGGGGAAUAUUGGACAAUGGGCGAAAGCCUGAUCCAGCCAUGCCGCGUGUGUGAAGAAGGUCUUCGGAUUGUAAAGCACUUUAAGUGGGGAGGAAGGGCAGUAAGUUAAUACCUUGCUGUUUUGACGUUACCAACAGAAUAAGCACCGGCUAACUUCGUG
rnacentral:rRNA from 1 species